UGCUUUGCAAAUAUUGUAGAAUUAGUGACAUGAAAGUAUGUAUUAGUAUCUUCAGAUGUAAAGGGAAUUUUUAUGUGGAAGAGCAAGAACUAAAAAGAGAGAUUAUUAUCUUGGCCAAACAGGCAAUGAUGAUGAAGAAUCCAUGUCUGUACUGAGGAAAACUGGAGGGCUGUGCCUGAAUUAGGAUCCAUGAAAACAUUAAUGAUUGAAUUACAAGAUGGAACCAAGCACCAGCUAGUAAAGGACCCUGCUAUUGCUGAUGAUACUGGGCAGGGGUCUGGCAGGUGUGUCACCAAUCCCAGACGUGUGUGUGUGUGUGUGUGUGUGUGUGUGUGUGUGUGGUGUGUGAAUAUCAAUUCUUUCCGCCUUUCAGGACUUAGGAAUAUUUUCAGAAAUCCCAUCUCAAAAAGUCAAGUGCCUCUCAGGAUUGGAAUUGUAAAAACUUCUUACUCUCUUUUUCUCUUCAUUUGAAAGCUCAGGUGGUUUCACUGCAUGAACAUAGAUGUUAGGAAGUACUAGACAGUUAAAAUGAGAGAAUCUUAUAACCAGCUUGCUUUUUCUUUGUAAAGCCAUUAAAACAUUUUUGUAGAAUGUAUAAAUGCUGCCACGUUAUGCACAGAAAACUUGUAUCUUGUCUACUUGACAAGUAUAGGAACAUUGCAGUAGAUGUUAGGGGUUGGCUAUCUUUUUAUGAACCUUCCAUCUUUCAUAUCUUAAUUAAAAAAGCAGCAACACCUUAGCAGAGACUAUUGUUUGAGCUCCUUUUUGUACAGAGGACUUUUUAAUUUGAAGAUUCUAAAGUUGCCAAAAUUGAUUCUUUUUAAAAAUUAAAUUAGUUCUUUGGUUAGUUGAGGUUGUCAGCUCAUUGUAUGCACCAGAAAAUAAAAAAUAAAAAAAAAAAAA